UCCUAUCGCUGACCCAAGUGCUGUCAAAGGGCUGUUUUCUGGUGGCUUCAACAGCAGGCCGCACACACACAGACACAGAGAGACAGGCAGAGAAACCCUCUCCCUCCUCCACAUACGCACCAAAAUAUGACGAAGCGCCCUACCGUGCGCCGUCUGCCGAUGGUGAAUGAGCUCUUUCGGGCUUCCUGCACGCCGACGGUGGCAUCCUCCUGCGAUCGUGACCCCGCCACCGCAUUUGACGGGGCGACACUGGCCGUACACCGAAUGCCUCUGUUGUGCAAUGAGGUGGCGAUGGAGCGGACACACGAAAUUGCCUAGUGCCACCGUCUCCCUCACCGGUGGAACGCGGCCUACGAGAGCUGCCCCUAUUUUAUGCUAGCGGAGAAAUGAGUUCUCUUUAUCGCGACGACUCCGAUCACGAUGAUGCGUCAGCCAUGCUGAUAUCGCGAUCGCACCCACUGCGACUUCUCCUCCUCCGCUUCCUUGCACACGGCCCACACAGCGAACUCUGAGGAAUAUCGUACGACCGCGGCCAGGUGGCAAAGGCUGGUGAGCGUAGCGCUCCCCUGUUAGCGCACCUGACCACGAUCGUACGAUAUUCCUCAGAGUUCGCUGUGUGGGCCGUGUGCAAGGAAGCGGUCGGAGGUCACCCCGCGAAGAAUGCACGUCGACGUCAUGGUGAGGUAGCGCAAGUGCCCUCAGAUGCAUAUAGAGGCCGCCGGCAUUCUGUGAGGCGGUCAUGGAGAUUGCAGUUCGCAGACCUCUACGCGGGUUUUACUGUAGUGGGGUUCCACGGUGCGGCUUAUCGAUUGUGUUUUUUUUUUCAGUAUCGGAUACUUGCUUGCAGUGUGCGCCCCAAAACGUGCUCUGCCAUGGUGUCGUGUCCUUUCCACGCGAUGCCAAUCACAGAUGUUUCGAGUACACACCUCCUCAGCCAACUCUGGCCUCGGAGGCCUACGCUCUGCGUUUCUGUUCUGUGUUUUCGCACUCUUCGGUGUUGCCUCUGAAGAGGUGCUUCUCGUUGUUGCCUCGCUACCUCCCUCUUCUCGCUGGGAGAGCUAUGCGCCGUUUUCGUCGAUGGCCGGUCGCGCACGACUCCCUCGCUACCACGGCCCCCCUCCUCCACCACCGCUCUGCACUUUUUCCUCGUUUCUAUCGCAUACCUGUUUCUGCCCAUCUCAUUUCUCCUCCCAUCAACGUACCUUGCCUUUAUCGGAUGGUUUUGUUCCCGCCCGCCGCGCGACCGGGAUGGAGAGUGAGAGGGAGCCCGAUGCACGCAAAGUCGACCCGCUGCGAAAGAACAAAGAGAUCGACGUGCGGAGCCCGCCGCACAUCCUUGUCGUUGGCGAUGCUGACGUGGGAACAUCUACCGAAGAUACGCUGUGAACUUCUUCGGGACGAUUGAGGCUUGAAAAGUUCCACCUGGCGCAUAUGUCCCGCGCAAUCAUGUGCUAAAACAUCUGUUGUGGUGCACGCUCUUCCCUCUUCCUCGCUCUUCACCGACAAGGACCCCUCUCCCUCGACACACGCCCGCGCACUCUCUUACUCCCGACCCCCUCGCGUCCUCGCAUGAAG
rnacentral:misc_RNA from 1 species